AGGGGCAUAGCUCAGUUGGUAGAGCGGCGGUCUCCAAAACCGCGUGCCGUGGGUUCAAGUCCUACUGCCCCUGCCA
rnacentral:tRNA from 1 species